UCAGGAGAUGAUGAAGAAUUAACUGCUUUUAUUCUGAACGGGCUAGAUGAUGAAUAUGAUCCUGUUGUAUCAGCUCUAGCUGCUAGGGUUGAACCUCUUACUCUUUCAGAUGCAUAUGCACAAUUGUUAAGCUUUGAAA
rnacentral:snoRNA from 1 species